GAUGAAGAACGCAGCAAAAUGCGAUAAGUAAUGUGAAUUGCAGAAUUCAGUGAAUCAUCGAAUCUUUGAACGCACAUUGCGCCCGCUGGUAUUCCGGCGGGCAUGCCUGUUCGAGCGUCAUUUCAACCCUCAAACCCCCGGGUUUGGUGUUGGGGAUCGGCUCUGCCUCACUGCGGUGCCGCCCCCGAAAUACAUUGGCGGUCUCGCUGCAGCCUCCAUUGCGUAGUAGCUAACACCUCGCAACUGGAACGCGGCGCGGCCAUGCCGUAAAACCCCAACUUCUGAAUGUUGACCUCGGAUCAGGUAGGAAUACCCGCUGAACUUAAGCAUAUCAAUAAGCGGAGGA
rnacentral:misc_RNA from 1 species